rnacentral:tRNA from 1 species
GUCCUCGUAGUUCAACGGAUAGAACAAGGGUUUCCUAAACCCUAGAUCCAAGUUCGAUUCUUGGCGAGGACA